GCAUACGCGCCUUGCCUAAGUACUGCCGAGCCAGGGGAUGUCCCCUUCCCUGAAGCUCGGGGCCACAGGUCACCUGCACCUUCCAAAGCACUUGGCUCCCAUCGCUGGUCUGCGGCGAUUUUGGACAUCCAUCGAGAAGACAGCACCUCCGAGAUUCCUAGAGAGGCCGGCCUGGAGACUUGAGAAGCCGGAAGCCCGGCCCCAGGCACUUCCUGUCCGGUUAUUGUUCUCGCGCGGAGGCGCGGGGCGUCGGAGCCUGCCGGCCUUGUGCCGUUGUGCUCGUGAGCUCCUGCCGGGCGUCUUCGAGACACGUAGACAGUCUUCAUUUUGGCCCUGGGAAGAAACCUAAGAAGAAGCUUUUGAAACUUAAAAAUUAGAUGGGACUUGAUCUCUGCUGGGCAGCCCCCAGCUAUAAUAAUUCCCCUCCUGAGCAUAGAAGAUGACUGCACAACUGAGAGAGGCCAUGGAUUUAACUGCCUGGGGCUCAGUGACGGUGAAAAAGGAGGAGGAAGAGGAGGAAAACUUCCUGGGUCAGGCAUCCAGUCAGCAAGUGCACUCUGAGAACAUCAAAGUCUGGGCUCCUGGGGAAGGUCCUCAGACAGGCCUUGAUAUAUCAGAACAGGAGGAAAAGGGUCCAAACAUGUUCUGGGACAUGGCUGUCGUCCUGAAAGCAACACAGGAGGCACCUACUGGCUCAACCAUUGGCAGCUACUCAUUACCGGGGACUUUGGCCAAGAACGAGAUACUGGAUACUCAUGGGAUCAUGACCUCUCUAGGUGCUGAAACCAAGAACCCACAGUUACUGGUUCCAAAAACUGAGACAUGUGAUGAAGCAGAAAAACCCUUCAUAAUAUCAGGAAGAAUCCAGAAAGUUAAUCCUCAAGGACCUGAGUUAGGAGAAGCCUGUGAAAAAGGGAACAUUAUAAAGAGGCAAAGAAUGAAGAGGGAAAAGAAAGGUUUCAGACAUAUGGCAGUGAAGAACUGUCAUGUACCUGAAAGCUUCAAAGUAGAGGAAGAUCAGAAAUGUCAGCAGUCUGGGGAAAGAUAUAGCCUUAGUUCUAGCUCUGUUAAAAAUCAGAAAAGCCAGCCUGGACAGAAACCUUUCACAUGUAGUGUGUGUGGAAAAGGCUUUAGUCAAAGUGCAAACCUCGUAGUGCAUCAGCGAAUCCACACUGGGGAGAAACCCUUCGAAUGUCAUGAGUGUGGAAAGGCUUUCAUUCAGAGUGCAAACCUUGUCGUACAUCAGCGAAUCCACACUGGACAGAAACCAUAUGUAUGUUCAAAAUGUGGGAAAGCCUUUACUCAGAGUUCAAAUCUGACUGUACAUCAAAAAAUCCACUCCUUAGAAAAAACCUUUAAGUGCAGUGAAUGUGAGAAAGCCUUCAGUUAUAGCUCACAACUUGCUCGGCACCAGAAAGUCCACAUUACAGAAAAAUGCUAUGAAUGUAAUGAGUGUGGGAAAACAUUUACUCGGAGCUCAAACCUCAUUGUCCACCAGAGGAUCCACACUGGGGAGAAGCCCUUUGCCUGUAAUGAUUGUGGCAAAGCCUUUACCCAGAGUGCAAAUCUUAUUGUACAUCAACGAAGCCAUACUGGUGAGAAGCCAUAUGAGUGUAAAGAGUGUGGAAAAGCCUUUAGUUGUUUUUCACAUCUUAUUGUGCACCAGAGAAUUCACACUGCAGAGAAACCUUAUGAUUGCAGUGAGUGUGGAAAAGCCUUCAGUCAGCUAUCUUGCCUUAUUGUGCAUCAGAGGAUUCACAGUGGAGAUCUUCCUUAUGUGUGUAAUGAGUGUGGGAAGGCCUUCACAUGUAGCUCGUACCUGCUUAUUCAUCAGAGAAUUCAUAAUGGGGAAAAACCUUACACAUGCAAUGAGUGUGGCAAGGCCUUCCGGCAAAGGUCGAGCCUCACUGUGCACCAGAGAACCCACACUGGGGAGAAGCCCUAUGAGUGUGCCAAGUGUGGCGCGGCUUUCAUUUCUAACUCGCACCUCAUGCGACACCACAGAACCCAUCUUGUUGAGUAACAGUUCAACAGUAUUGGAAUGUGAAAACUUAGAAGGAUGAAGAAACUGGCUAAGGUCUUGGUUUCCACAAAUCUGCACCCAGGUUCAAGACUUCUCCAAUCCUGCAUAAAUUAUGUGAGCCUAGUGGAUUACCAAACAGACCAGAUCCUUAACUAACAACUCUUAUUUCCAGUUAAUUUCCAGACUUUAAAAUAAGUUACUGCUCUCCUUUUUCUGUAUGGUUUCUGAUAGAUGAGAAGUGACUACUACUUGGCACAGUUGGCUUAAGUUUUCAUUUUCCCAAAAGUCAACCCUUUUCUCUCUUGGCUUUUAUUUCUAGAAGCGGAUCAGAACUCUGAAGCCCUGAUUCUUAAGUUGCCAAGAGCUAUCAGAGUUCUAGCUAUCAAAAAUCCAGGCCAAUUGAUGAGUACUAAGAAGACAGCCAAGAAGUCAUGGCAACAGUUGUGUAUUAAGGAGAACAUAGUGAUAUGGAAGUGAUGAUAAAGUCUUGUACUUGGAGGGGCACAGGGGAGGAGAGACUCAUUGAGACACACACACACACACACACACACACACACACACACACACCCCUACACUUACAUGCCUCAGACCCAUGAAUCUCCAAGCUCAGGAAGAGGUGUUUGGACAAAGCUAAUCUUUAUGUUCUGGGUCCCUCCCUCGCCUAGAUAGUUAUCCUUUCAUAUCUGUCACUUUGCUUGCUCUUCCAUCCAGUGUGCUCAAUCUUUCUGGGGUCACAGUCCCUUUGAGGAUCUAAUGGAGGUUGUAGAUCCUCUUCCUGAGACCUGCAGAUAGCACAUUCAGUUUUUCGCUCAUUUGUGGUGGCUUAUAGUCUCCCUAAGGCCAGUUCUUGAAUCCUCUAGGGCAUAAAUGUCUAGUGACAUUAAGAAAUGAGGUCAGAAUCUCUAGAUGUUGCCCAAAUACAAUCUCAAUCUUGCUUUUCCUGGAUUCCCUCCUUAAGCAAAUAGCAUUAUUCAGCAGCCAAACUGGAAAUCCAAGAGGUUAUUUCUGGCUUUCUCUGUGUCAUUCUUUCAACAGUUCUUUUCACUCUUUGUGGCAAACAUGGUGCUAGUUCCUGGAGUACAAAGGCAAACAAGACCUACCAAAUCCUGGUGUCUCAGGAAAACUGUUUGAACCCCUUAACAUGAUUUACUAAGCUCUUCAUAGUCUCUUUCCAACCUAAUCUCUUCACUUUGCAUGUAUUUUUACUGCAGCCUGGAGGCAUGUGCUGGCUUUUCUCUGUGCCUUUGCUCACACUGUCCCUGAUGCUUAUUACCACCACUUCCUACUUGACCUCUGUCUACUUUGCUGAACUUUAGAUUUCUUUUAAGAUUUGAUUCCAGUCUCAUCUUUGGGAACCCUCUGACUAAUCCUUAGCAAGUAUGUGUAUACACACACACAUACACACACACACACACACACACACAGAGAGAUACUUAGAAGUAUGGAAGAGCAUAUGGUAUGUAUCCACUUUAUGCUUUAAAGUGAAAAAAAAACUUGGAUUCAUAAUUGUGUAUAUAGUACAGUUCUCAUAUAAUGUUUCAUAUACUAUGUACUGUUAAAAAGUAAUAGAUAAAUUACCUGAAGGAAAUAAAAAAAAUGUUAUAAGUGGUUAAGUGACAUGUUCACAGCCAUACAGAAUUGCAGAGCUUAGACUCCAACUUGGUCCUGUAGAUUAUAGAAUUAUGGGAGAUUAAAAGUCAUUUUUUUCUUUUUAAGUAAUAUUUUAUAUAAGGAACAAGAACUUUAUAAUCAAGAAAAAAUUAUUAUAUUUACAUAUUUAGUUCUAUUGUAUUAACUCUAAACAGUAUUUUAAUUCUGUGUUUUAAGAUGUGGAAUAUACCCUGCUAUUUCUUUCUCCUUCCCCUUCCACCUCUCUGACUCUGACCAUGUCAAGUCUGAUUCUUGAACUCUAUUCUGUAACCAUAGAUAGUCUUUUAUGCUUUGUUUAUUGAUUUGCUCUAAAUGUUGAAAAUAAACAGCAUGAAUGUAAUAUAAAUGUUUACUGCAGAUUAAGUAGCUUACUAUGAUUUAUAAUAUAUUAUUUUACUGGAGUUUUUAGUUACCUUUCUUUUCUCCUUAUACUGGUUGCUUUUAGCACACUCUGAGUGAUUUUCAGAUUCUUCAUCUAAUUAGAUACUCUAUUGAGUCCCCUUUUUUCUCUUUAAGAGACCUCUAGUUUCCAGCUUCCCAUGCUAGUCUGCCCUUGAUGUUUUCCUGCCCCUUGUUUUGUUGUUACAUGGGGCUUUGGUGUGUACUGAAUUGUACAUGUUGCUCUUAUUUAUUAACUCCCUCAUUUCACUGCAGCACAACUUCCAAGUCCCUUGCCAAGAAAGAGUAUAUGGAAGACAAAAAUAUUGAGUGCUUAUAUAUCAAAAAAAACAUCUUUCUCUGUCCUCCAGCUUGAUUGUUACUCUGGCUCUGAAAUUCUACAUUGAAAAAUUAAUCCAGAAUUUGUA